GACGAACGCUGGCGGCGUGCUUAACACAUGCAAGUCGAACGGAAAGGCCCUGCUUUUGUGGGGUGCUCGAGUGGCGAACGGGUGAGUAACACGUGAGUAACCUGCCCUUGACUUUGGGAUAACUUCAGGAAACUGGGGCUAAUAUCGGAUAGGAGCUCCUGCUGCAUGGUGGGGGUUGGAAAGUUUCGGCGGUUGGGGAUGGACUCGCGGCUUAUCAGCUUGUUGGUGGGGUAGUGGCUUACCAAGGCUUUGACGGGUAGCCGGCCUGAGAGGGUGACCGGCCACAUUGGGACUGAGAUACGGCCCAGACUCCUACGGGAGGCAGCAGUGGGGAAUAUUGCACAAUGGGCGGAAGCCUGAUGCAGCAGCGCCGCGUGCGGGAUGACGGCCUUCGGGUUGUAAACCGCUUUCGCCUGUGACGAAGCGUGGGUGACGGUAAUGGGUAAAGAAGCACCGGCUAACUACGUG
rnacentral:rRNA from 1 species